GAUGAACGCUGGCGGCGUGCCUAAUACAUGCAAGUCGAGCGAACAGACGAGGAGCUUACUCCUCUGACGUUAGCGGCGGACGGGUGAGUAACACGUGGAUAACCUACCUAUAAGACUGGGAUAACUUCGGGAAACCGGAGCUAAUACCGGAUAACAUGUUGAACCGCAUGGUUCAACAGUGAAAGACGGUCUUGCUGUCACUUAUAGAUGGAUCCGCGUCGCAUUAGCUAGUUGGUAAGGUAACGGCUUACCAAGGCAACGAUGCGUAGCCGACAUGAGAGGGUGAUCGGCCACACUGGAACUGAGACACGGUCCAGACUCCUACGGGAGGCAGCAGUAGGGAAUCUUCCGCAAUGGGCGCAAGCCUGACGGAGCAAUGCCGCGUGAGUGAAGAAGGUCUUCGGAUCGUAAAACUCUGUUAUUAGGGAAGAACAAAUGUGUAAGUAACUAUGCACGUCUUGACGGUACCUAAUCAGAAAGCCACGGCUAACUACGUG
rnacentral:rRNA from 1 species